CCCGUCAUAGUGUAGUGGUUAACACGCCAGCUUGUCACGCUGGUAGCGAGGGUUCAAUUCCCUCUGGCGGGG
rnacentral:tRNA from 1 species